UACGUAGGGGGCUAGCGUUGUCCGGAAUCAUUGGGCGUAAAGCGCGCGUAGGCGGCCCGGUAAGUCCGCUGUGAAAGUCAAAGGCUCAACCUUUGAAUGUCAGCGGAUACUGCCGGGCUAGAGUCCGGAAGAGGCGAGUGGAACUCCUGGUGUAAGCGGUGGAAUGCGCAGAUAUCAGGAGGAACACCGAUGGCGAAGGCAGGUCUCUGGGCAUUAACUGACGCUGAGGAGCGAAAGCAUGGGGAGCGAACAGG
rnacentral:rRNA from 1 species